GGUCGCAGGCAGGGAAGGAGCGCUGGCUGCAGGCCAUGCUCAGCCAAGGAGACCAGGGGCCCCGGGUCACCCGAAUGCCCUCCCUUGGGUUCCUCGUGGACGCCCUCAGCUUCUCGCAACCUGUAAGUGCCGCCGGGGUUUCCGUUCUGCCAAGAGAGCAACGUGGCUUUUGGAAACAGCCCCUGGGAUGAGCCGCUCACCUUGGCUCUUUGUUCUCUUGCCUACGGGGCUGAGGUCAAGCAGUACCCCAUCUGGGUCCCACCAGCUAUUGCAGAGGGUCUUUGCCACUCAACAGAGCUGCCUUCUGAAGAGCUUAGGCAGCAGGUAAUCGAGCUGCAGGGGAAGUGCCAGAAACGUGAAGUUCUGCACAGAUCACCCUCUCCCCUCACCAUGGAGACAGCAACAGGUGGAGAUGGGGCUGCACAGGCGGGACAAGGAUAGGUGUUUGACUUUGACGUGGCAGUCAAGCCAGUGCUGGAAGUGUUGAUUGGCACCGCUGUUGAUUAAGCUCUACUGGAACUCGUGGUGGAGGACGAGCUGGCUUACCGGUGGGAACAGCAGUGCGUGUAUAUUGACUGGCAAAAUGCAGAGCUGGCUGAGCGCCUGGAAGAGCAGGAGAGGUGAUACAGAGAGGAGAAGAUAUUGAGAUAGAAUUCCUUCCCUGCUGGAUGGUGGAAGUGUAAGAAGCAUUGGAGAAGAGGGCUCUGGGGAGGACAGUGCUUGACUGUAACCGAAGCAAAUGAAAACCAGCUCCCAAGAGCCUGUCGUUCAUCCUUAAGAAUAAACAAUUCCUUUGUCUUGUUUU